CACGGGCCAGCCACUGGCCUGUGGCCACCGCACUCGUUCCAACUAGUUGGGCCAAAAAUCCGGUAACUCCGCGUCGUCCCUUCCCUCCCGGCUUCCAGGGUCCAGGCCUCCCGCCUCCCUGCACAGCACAGCACAGCACAGCACCCCGCAUCUCUCCCCUUCCUCACCAACCCCGCCGCCUCCGACGUUCACCUCGGCGGCCGCCACCGGCGAGGCCGCACCUCGCCGGUCACCCACCCCCGCUACUCGAUAUUAUAUCCUACUCCGAGGAUCCGCGUAGCCGCCUCCGGCUGCCCACCCGCGGAACUCUAGAUCUCCGAUACCCCGCGCUCCCUCCCGCCGACGGCCACCCGACCGGAAUGGGCCGCUGUCUUCAGUAAGGUCUAAGGACCCAAGGGAACCCUCCUCCGCCUUCGCUCGUGCGCGAAGCGCGGCCGCGAUGGCGAUCCGCAUUACGGUGUCCUACUCGGGCUACGUGGCGCAGAACCUGGCCGCGUCCUUCGGCCUCCGCUGCACCGUGGCUGCGGGCGCAAGCGCGGCGCUCGGCCCGGGGUGCCGCUUCCUCCAGGACGCGCUAUCCCACCCCUUCUGCCUCUUCGCUUCCUCCCGCCGCGCCGACCCCCACCAUGACGCCGAGGAUCACAACCACCCGAAGCCCAGGUCCAAGGCUCUAGCCCCCGCCGCCGCAGCAAGAGGAGGCGGCCACUCAUUGCUGCUGCCGCGGUCGUGUUCCGGGAAGGCGGCGCCGCCGGUGGAUGACCCCCCAGCCUCGUUGGCCGUGGGGCUGCUGUCGGUGUUCGCGUCUGGGAUGGGAUCGACUGGUGGCAUUGCUGGUGCGUCCUCCCUUGCUGCGUCGCCGUCAAUAUCAGCCGGGUUCAACCCUGCGGCGCUCCUCCCGUUCUUGCAGGCGAGCAAGUGGCUCCCCUGCAGCGACAUAGUCACUGUUGCAACGACGUCGCGCAGCUCAGGACGCCCAGCAGGUUCAACUGCUUCGCCUGUACCGCGGACAACUGCACCAUCGCCCCGUCCUACACAACGCGCAGCCGCUCCAUCUCCCUGCCCUGUGCCAUCACCUGCUGUUGCUGCUCCUUCCAAGGUCGGCAUACAAGCAUUGGUUGGUAGUGCUAGCAUCGCCUCAGGUUCAGCUGAGAUUGGAAGGGGAGCCAUUGCCUCUGGUGUGGCUGGAAUGGUGAAGAAGAGUGGUGCUAGUAUUCCUGCUGGUGCAGGGGUGAGAAGGAAGACUGGUUGGCUCUCAAAGUGGGUGAGCUCAUGCUCAGAUGAUGCAAAGACAGUCUUCGCCGCCGUGACCGUGCCACUGCUCUAUAAAUCAUCCCUAGCUGAGCCGAGAUCCAUCCCAUCCAGGUCAAUGUUCCCAACAUUUGAUGUUGGUGACCGGAUCCUUGCUGAGAAGGUUUCGUACAUUUUCCGGGAGCCAGAAAUUUUGGACAUUGUGAUAUUUCGUGCACCUCCAGUCCUUCAGGCAUUGGGCUACAACUCAGGUGAUGUGUUCAUCAAGAGAGUUGUGGCUAAGAGCGGGGACACCGUUGAAGUAAGCUUUUAUCCCAAUGGUACGUGAUGGUAACUUGUUGGUUAAUGGAGUAGUUCAGGAGGAGGAAUUUGUGCUGGAACCAGCCAACUAUGAAAUGGAUCCGCUGACUGUGCCUGAAGGCUAUGUCUUUGUCCUGGGGGAUAACAGAAACAACAGCUUUGAUUCACAUAACUGGGGUCCACUUCCAUUUAAGAACAUCCUUGGGAGAUCUGUGCUCCGAUACUGGCCACCAUCGAGGAUAACAGAUACAAUAUAUGAGCAUGACAUAGUGCAGUACACAGCUGCUGCAUCCUGAUAGUACAUUGUGGCAAUACCACAUGCUGCAGGUCCAUUUUUCCUUUCCCUGCUGACAAAGGGUUAUGCUGAGCCUUUAGGGCUUGUUCGGUUAUUUUCAAUCCAUAUGGAUUGAAGGGGAUUGAUACGGAUUGAGGGGGAUUUUGACUUACUAGGGAUUGAAACCCCCUCAAUCCCCCUCAAUCCAUAUGGAUUGGGAUAUAACCGAACAAGCCCUUAGGUUCUUUAUUUACUGGCUGUAGCCUUGCCUCAAAUGUCGAUUGCGCAGCUUGGCAGACAGAUUGAUUUUUUUUUCACUCCCUACGGGCAGAUGCUUGUUCGAAAGCAACAAAUUUUCUCUGUAGCUAAGAAUGAAUGUCAUAUAAAUGUUGCAGAAGUAGAUGAACGAGCAUCAAUGAGUGAUAAGGAUGUCAGUUCUCUUGUUUUAUGUGACGACAUGUUGUUCAAAACUUAUGUAAAAAGGAAAUACAAAGCAUAAAAGGCUGCUCAACUUGUGCUAUGUAUCUAUUCAUUAUUGCAUCUAGGACCAAAGAUUAAGGCAAGGUCAGCCUGGUGCAAAGGUUUUGGUUGAA